rnacentral:lncRNA from 1 species
GAGGAAAAAAAUUCUGAAAAAACCAAGAGAUCAUACUUUUCACAAAGUUACUGUUCCAUUGAAUUUUCUUUGGUGAUUUUGGAAGUUUCCAAGUUCUGAAUCAAAUCUCUAGCUUAUCUGAGGGUAAAGAUGGCUUAAGUAUCCCUGUAAUCUUAGUAGCUGAGGGUUUUAAAAGCUCCUGGGGUUAUUUUGAGUUUUAACUUGGGUCAUUCAAGCUUGGUUUGAUGUUUGCUGGUGUGUUAUUUGAUUCAAACUGAUUCCUGGACUACUUGAUAUCUUUUCCUGGGCUUGAAAUUGGUCUUAAACUGCUGCUGGACUGCUCUUUGUUGCUGCUGACUUCUUACCUCAUUUUCUCUAUUUUCUCAAUACUAGGUAUUCCCUGAUCUAUUGACAUGAGGAAUGCUAGCAUGAAUGUUUGUAAUGCAAAUUGAAGAAAUGUUUAAUCCCAGUUUCCUGCUAUUUGUUCAAUAUUGAAUCUAGUCUUGUUUUAGUUCUUCCUAGUAUAGUUCUUUCGUAUAUUUCACUUUGUUUCGAGGUCUAAGCUUAAACUUGUAGAGACUUCAAUUGAUUUAAGAAACUUUUGGACUUUAAAGCAUGUGUUAAGUAUGGACCGUGACCUGCAGUUUAACUGGUUGAAAUGUUUGGUUUUCAAUCCAUAAUGAUUGAUUUUAAAUACAUGUUGAUGCAGAUUAUGAGUUUGGUUUGAUUUGAUUCAUACUAGGGUGCCAGUUUUUGGAAGUUUUUGGAAAUCUUCAUCUUAAAUGAAGGUCGACUCAGUUCUGAUCUGUUUAAAGGAUUAUGUUGUGCUAAAUGUCAAAUAAUGGUUGUGAAGCUUCUAGUGGUUUAUUUUGAGAUUGUAUUUGGAAAUUCCUUUUUCCAAAUUAGUAUAAAACUGUAUAAAAUUGUGUUUUGAAGCAAGUUUUAGAAAAUCAGAAUCCAGCAUGAUCGUAGGAUAAUUACUUAGUCCCGAGUUUCUUUUUACAAGUGCUUAUCUGUUCAUCCAGUCUUGGAAUUAAAAAGGACAUCACAUUCGUUUGAAUCAAAGCUAGUGAAUUUCAGUUGUUUGAUAUCCCCUCCUUUUGUUGGUAUGCUGAUCGUGUUGCUGCAGGGACUCGACCUUGAAUCCCUG